GCCUGUUCCAGAGCCUGCACCUUGUUGCCACGAACUUGGGUCUUCUUUGAGUCCAAGUUGUUCCCAACCGGGAAGUUACCAGGAGCUGUACCACGUUGGCUUUGUCUCGAUGUUCCCUCCUGUCUGCGUGGUCUGUGCUUUGGGGGUAUUCCCCAGGUGACUCUAGGCCCAGGAAGGCGUAGUGGAGCGUGUUGUGUCUUUAGUGCGGUCGGUAUGCCUUUGGGGGGUCUCACUUGCCUCUUCUUGUUUAAUGUCUGCUGUCUCGCCCGUGGCAGCGCCACAGGGGGCACUCGGUUCAUCAGCUCGAUUAGGUUGGCCCAGAAUUUUCCAAAGGCUGCAUCCAAUCGUGUUUCAAAUUGACCUAGUGCUUCAGUUAGUUCAGUUGGAUGUUGCAUCCACGUUUGAAUCAUAGGCGCAUCCGCCAUCUUGG